rnacentral:rRNA from 1 species
AUACGGAGGAUCCGAGCGUUAUCCGGAUUUAUUGGGUUUAAAGGGUGCGCAGGCGGCCAUUUAAGUCAGCGGUUAAAUCGUGGGGCUCAACCCCAUUCUGCCGUUGAUACUGGGUGGCUUGAUUGCGGUCGAGGUUGGCGGAAUUCGUUGUGGAGCGGUGAAAUGCAUAGAUAUGACGAAGAACACCGAUUGCGUAGGCAGCUGACCAGACCGCAAAUGACGCUCAUGCACGAAAGUGCGGGGAUCGAACAGGAUUAGAUACCCUGGUAGUCCGCACAGUAAACGAUGAAUACUUGUUUUCGGCGAUAUAAUGUCGGAGGCAAAGCGAAAGCGAUAAGUAUUCCACCUGGGGAGUACGCCGGCAACGGUGAAACUCAAAUGAAUUGACGGGG